rnacentral:RNase_P_RNA from 1 species
GGCCGCAGCUGCCGGUGCCGAAAGGCUGCAGAUGAGGAAAGUCCGGGCUUCACAGGGCAGGAUGCCAGAUAACGUCUGGUGGAGGCGACUCCAAGGAAAGUGCAACAGAAAUAUACCGCUGCGGGUGACCGCAGUAAGGGUGGAAGGGCAGUGUAAGAGACUACCGCCCGUCUGGUAACAGGCGGGGCACAUGUAAACCCCAUCCGAAGCAAGACCGAACAGGGGGCAUAAGGCGGCCCGUCUGCCCCGGGUAGGUCGCUUGAACCGGCUGGUGACAGCCGGUCUAGAUAGAUGGCCAUUCAACGACAUAACCCGGCUUAUCGUUUUGCUC